rnacentral:rRNA from 1 species
GACGAACGCUGGCGGCGUGCCUAAUACAUGCAAGUUGAGCGCUGAAGGUUGGUACUUGUGCCAACUGGAUGAGCAGCGCACGGGUGAGUAACGCGUGGGGAAUCUGCCUUUGAGCGGGGGACAACAUUUGGAAACGAAUGCUAAUACCGCAUAAAAACUUUAAACACAAGUUUUAAGUUUGAAAGAUGCAAUUGCAUCACUCAAAGAUGAUCCCGCGUUGUAUUAGCUAGUCGGUGAGGUAAAGGCUCACCAAGGCGAUGAUACAUAGCCGACCUGAGAGGAUGGUCGGCCACAUUGGGAGUGAGACACGGCCCAAACGGCUACGGGAGGCAGCAGUAGGGAAACUUCGGCAAUGGACGAAAGUCUGACCGAGCAACGCCGCGUGAGGGAAGAAGGUUUUCGGAUCGUAAAACUCUGUUGGUAGAGAAGAACGUUGGUGAGAGUGGAAAGCUCAGCAAGUGACGGUAACUAGCCAGAAAGGGACGGCUAACUACGUG